UUAGGGUGCCUUGAGGAUCAAGUUUGGGAACCACUAACCUAAGCCUGGAUACACACUUGACAGAUAUAACCUGUGGCCAAUCAAGAACGGGAUUUGGGCUGUCAAAAUACAGACUCUGGGAUCCCAACACAGCUAAUGAAACCGAUGCCAGAAUCCAGAAUGGGGUAAGAAUCCUGGCACCGGAAUCCCGAUUGAUCACUCACGGCACGCAGGACAGAUCGAGCGCAUUUAAUUCAUAUGAAUAUCUUAAUGCUAGAAGAGCAGAAAGCCAGCCAGCCGUGGAAAUGGAGAGUUAUAUAUAACUUAUUUCAACCCGUUAACAGCACCCAGCAUUGCUAGGGUUAAGAGUCUCCUAAGAUUCUAUCUCGAAGCAAAGACACAUCACAUCACCAUGACAACCGGGAUUCCCUCCCAGUAUGUGACAUCAUGAUCCAACGAAGAUAAAAGGACUAACCCCUUUAUUUUCAACAUAUCCCUGAGGAAGGCCAGGAGGCCGCUACGCGUCGGAUACUAUACACAGACUACUACCAGCAAUAUCAGCCUCUAACUGAAGAGGUAAACAGCAGACGGACAUCUGUCACGAAUACCACACCAAGACUUCAAUCCGGAAGUCUCACGAACGCUGAGAAGGCUAGUGUGGCACCACGGCAGUGUGUGUUUUUGCCACACACACACCGGAAUAUAGGCGCCGAGGGAGGAUAAGGAGCUGGAGAACUGAAGGACUCCUGAGAACAAGACCCAUUACCCAUUAGCACUCCCGGGGCUUCAGUAGAGAGUGGUGGUCAGAGAGAACCAGGAGACUGUCCAGGACCACCAGCGGGCAGAAUGUGGAAAUGUUGAGCGGUAUGGACUCAGCUCCCGUAAGUAUAGUGAAGCAAGCCACCCCCAGUCUGCAGCAAAUGUCAGACGCGCCAGCCACUGUCAAAGCCAGCCUUCAAAGAAUGGACACCAUCAAUGAGGACCCCAGCACAGACUCGCACCUUGAAGACCCUGUCGAGGACCUCUCUGACCACCCUGUCACCAGGAGCGAGAAGGCCUCAUCCUUUAAACUGCAGCGGCAGGGACGUGUGGAGAGCAAGGACACGGAGUGCUGAUACACCCUAUAUGCUCCACCUCUGGCAAUCAUUCUAUUAUCGCAUGAAGACAAUCAAGUCACUAACCAUUAAUGCAACAAUCCAGAGAAUUGUAUCCUGAUGUCUGAGAUUGACAGAUGUUGUAUAUACUUAAUAACUUUUUUGUAAUUUUUGUGUUUGGUAUACCUAAUCCAGAAAGAAAAAAAGUUUUUAAAGGGAAACUAUUCAAAGAUGUUAUACAAUUAUAUUUAUGCUUAAAAACAGCCAUAGUUAAUGACUUUUUCGGUUUUGAUGCCCUGGCCUAUUGCUUCACCCUUUAUGACCCAUUGCAUGUUUCCAGUGUAUCCCAUUGCUGAUACUGGUAAAAUAGACGAGUGAGGCCCCAAGUAACCCCAAAAAAUAUAGUUUGGUCAUUUAGACGCAAUGUCCAUCCUAGUGGACAAUAAUUUGCUAGCAUUGCAGCUCGUACACCAAAACAUGGCAAUUCAUUCUAAUUUGAUAUUUUGAUAUCCUAGAAACUUCAAUUACUGUUCGCCUAACAAUUUUGCCAAAAUUUGAUUGAUAAAGUAUGUAGCUCUACUUGUAAAGUGGUAUACUCACCUCAUGGCGAUCUUUCUGGGCGAAGCCAUCUUUCAAACUCGUAGCGACCGUUACAAGCCAGUGUUGCCAUCUGCCGGAAAAUUGUCACACUAUUUUCGUACAUUUAAAUGGGCAUUGGGAUUUCAAUGGCAACCGUCAUCACAAUACAGUCCGCGCAAUAAUUUUUUUUUUUUAAAUGUCCAUUUAAAUGAACAAGGGGUAUUAAAGGGUUAAAGUUCCAUAUUAUUUUUUGGUUGUUUUCUUGGAAUAAGCACUUCCAUUGGGUGGAGGGUUUACAGUAUUUGGCCACCCAGCCUUUCUCAGGAAGUCUAAAUUGAGAGAUUUAGUUUAUUGAGGUACUUGCAUUAUUAAUAUAAUAUAACAAAAUUGUGUUAAAAUCACAGUAACUUAUUUACAGCAUAGCGUUGUUUGGAAACACCCAGCAGCACCUGAGAUGGGCACUUUCAUGACGGAUAUUCCUGUCACUUUAGACACAAGCCCACACACUCGGCUCCUGUAAGCCAGGGCUUUAUACCAUUGCACUAUAUGACCGCUACAAAGGAAUAAACCAUUUUGCGGUUCUGAAUAAUAAUCAAUGGGACAGUCAGUGCUUGGCAGCCAUCUUAUGAUGGAAACCGUGACAUUUACUAUGUCACUACAAGUUGUUACAGAAUAGAUGGGCUGCAAGUGGCAUUAGGCUAGUGAAUUUAUAGGCUGUAGUUACUAUAUUAUUCAUUUGCCAAGAAAAUGUAGUUCUGUAGUUGUCUGGCAUGCUUUACACUUGGAUGCCGCUCUCUUCUGGAGUACCUAAUAUCAUUCAGUAACUUGUACUUAAGGAAUUGUGAUGUACUGAGGCUCUGAUGUAAUGUCAUGCUUUUGUGCUGGUCAAUGCUUACUAGUGCAGCCUAACUUCCAAAUACACAUUUAUGUGCCUGAUCCACUUACAGAGAAAUGAGUGAUAUUAUUAUGGUAAAGAUUGUGAAAAUGCACAAACUGGGGUCCAGAUUUAUCAAGCCUUGGAGAGUGAUAAUUAGCACGGUGAUAAAGUACCAAUCAGUCAGCUCCUACUGUCAUUUUUCGAACACAGUAAUGUGUAAGUUAGGAACUGAUUUGUUGGUACUAUGCUAUUUAUCACUUUCCAAGGCUUGAUAAAUGAGGGCCUGGGGGCCAUAAAUGUCAUAUAUAAAUAUAUUUAUAUCUUAGGGGGCUACUUCUGCGGUAGUGUCUAGUUUCCCUUCGUGGAGAGGACCUUUCCCAUAAACCGCUGGGUCCUUGUCACAAACUAUUUUGGAAUAGUAACCUGUGGCGAGCAGAGCGAGACACCGAGCCCGAAUCGUGGCCAGCGUCCAAUGGUGCAUAGAAAAAAAAAAUAACCUCAAACGAACGGAGAAUGGAGAAAACAUUAAGAAGAUGUAAGGGCGGACGUUCUCUCCUGCCCUCUGGUUAUGUCACUUCCUGGUCCUGAUCACGAAGGGAGCAUAGACACAACCCUACUUCUGUUAAUGCCGAUUUUAUAUUUUGUGAGAUCAUCUUAUAGAAUCACAGCAGUAACCAAACGGCUGCUUGGGUAAUGUGGACUCACAAAUAAAAAUAUAAAUGUUGUUACAA